CAGGACUGUGAGGGAAGCUUUCCUCUUCUUCACAGUUGGUUGCAUUCUGUUGUGUUUGAAGAAGACAUUUGAUCAGCCUGUGCUGCCUACCAGAUCUCGUGUGGCCCAAAGGUGAUGGUGUCAUCCUGACAUGCUCUUCUUGUGACCCGGGAGUCCCUAAAUCCCAAACCGCAUAGCUUUGGAAAACCCUGGAAAUACCUGGAAUUCUAGGAGUAUAUCACCAAAACCUCUUAAGGUGCCCAGGCACUGGAUCAUUAGCUUUACAUUCUCCUUUAUUAUUAUUUUCUGUUUACAAAGAAAGAGACGAAAGUCUGAACAUUAGCAAUAGCCUUUAGCCAUCCACCAUUGCUUCGACGGACCUGCUGUGACCGAGAGGGCGUGACCUUUCUGCCUGCUGACUUCAAACAGACACUUGAAAAGGAAACGCUGUCAGAGAGGCUUCCGCGUGGUGGCAACUCAGACCAAAAACCCC